AGCAGUCGCCGCGGUAAUACGGAGGGUGCAAGCGUUAAUCGGAAUUACUGGGCGUAAAGCGCACGCAGGCGGCUUUGUAAGUUAGAGGUGAAAGCCUGGAGCUCAACUCCAGAAUUGCCUUUAAGACUGCAUCGCUUGAAUCCAGGAGAGGUGAGUGGAAUUCCGAGUGUAGAGGUGAAAUUCGUAGAUAUUCGGAAGAACACCAGUGGCGAAGGCGGCUCACUGGACUGGUAUUGACGCUGAGGUGCGAAAGCGUGGGGAGCAAACAGGAUUAGAUACCCCCGUAGUCCCUGUCUCUUAUAC
rnacentral:rRNA from 1 species